GAUGAACGCUGGCGGCGUGCCUAAUACAUGCAAGUCGAGCGAACGGACGAGAAGCUUGCUUCUCUGAUGUUAGCGGCGGACGGGUGAGUAACACGUGGAUACCCUACCUAUAAGACUGGGAUAACUUCGGGAAACCGGAGCUAAUACCGGAUAAUAUUUUGAACCGCAUGGUUCAAAAGUGAAAGACGGUCUUGCUGUCACUUAUCGAUGUAUCCGCGCUGCAUUAGCUAGUUGGUAAGGUAACGGCUUACCAAGGCAACGAUGCAUAGCCGACCUGAGAGGGUGAUCGGCCACACUAGAACUGAGACACGGUCCAGACUCCUACGGGAGGCAGCAGUAGGGAAUCUUCCGCAAUGGGCGAAAGCCUGACGGAGCAACGCCGCGUGAGUGAUGAAGGUCUUCGGAUCGUAAAACUCUGUUAUUAGGGAAGAACAUAUGUGUAAGUAACUGUGCACAUCUUGACGGUACCUAAUCAGAAAGCCACGGCUAACUACGUG
rnacentral:rRNA from 1 species